UCUUGGGUUCCAUUUACAUCUCUUAGAGCAGUGCGAUCUACUUGUAAAACGUGGAACGCUUUAUCGAAAAAUCAGAUCUUUGGUAAAAAAUCAGUAGCAAGGAAUCAGUUUCUAGAGUUAAUGAUUCUAGAUUCUAGGGUUUGUUCCUUGAGAUU
rnacentral:sRNA from 1 species